rnacentral:rRNA from 1 species
GACGGAAGGUGGCGAGCGUUGUUCGGAAUCACUGGGCAUAAAGCGCACGUAGGCGGUGACGUAAGUCGGGUGUGAAAUCCCUCGGCCUAACCGAGGAACUGCGCCCGAUACUGCGUUGCUUGAGGAUCAGAGGGUGCAUGGAAUUUCCGGUGGAGCGGUGAAAUGCGUUGAUAUCGGAAGGAACUCCGGCGGCGAAAGCGAUGCACUGGCUGAUUUCUGACGCUGAGGUGCGAAAGCCAGGGGAGCAAACAGG